GAUGAACGCUAGCGGGAGGCUUAACACAUGCAAGUCGAGGGGUAACAAGAGGAAAGCUUGCUUUCCUUGUCGACGACCGGCGCACGGGUGAGUAACGCGUAUCCAACCUGCCCCCAACUAGGGAAUAACCUUGCGAAAGUAAGACUAAUACCCUAUAAUUUCCUCAGAUGUCAUCUGACGAGGAAUAAAGAUUUAUCGGUUGUGGAUGGGGAUGCGUCUGAUUAGCUUGUUGGCGGGGUAACGGCCCACCAAGGCAACGAUCAGUAGGGGUUCUGAGAGGAAGGUCCCCCACAUUGGAACGGCGACACGGUCCAAACUCCUACGGGAGGCAGCAGUGAGGAAUAUUGGUCAAUGGGCGGAAGCCUGAACCAGCCAAGUAGCGUGCAGGAUGACGGCCCUAUGGGUUGUAAACUGCUUUUAUACAGGAAUAAAGUUAGCCACGUGUGGUUAUUUGUAGGUACUGUAUGAAUAAGGACCGGCUAAUUCCGUGCCAGCCGCCGCCGUAAUAC
rnacentral:rRNA from 1 species